CGUGGGCAGAACCAUGACCAAGGGAGAGGGGAAGCCAAGAGGAGAGAUUUCAGAUGGAUAAACAAGUUUCUCACAGUCGAGGAAUAAGAACCACACGGGCAGGCUUCCUCGGAGAGGCCCGUGCCCCAACCUAGAGGACAUGAAGCCCAGACCAGGACUGUGACCUGCAGCUGGAGACCCCUCUUGACCCAUGGGGGCUGGUGUGCUAAGGUGCAAAGGGAGGGAAGAGCAACAUGCCGUGUGACACCUGCAGACAGUUCUUCCUGUUCUGGAAUCUUCCGGUUGGCCCCAGGGGUGUACCCUAGGGCAGCCCACAGCCAGCCCCUGCUAGAUCCCGGCUCCCGGCAACCCUCAAUGCUGAACUCUCCCGGGAGUCCUGUGGCGGCAAACAGCCCUGGGCGUGACGCAGCAAGAAGACCCUCGCCAGGUGCCAACCUUGUGAUCUCGGACUUCCCAAUCUCAAACACUGCAAAGCCAAUUGCUGUUCAUUAUCAAUUACUCAUUCUGUGGUAUUCUGUUCCAGCAGCACAAAAUGGACUAAGACACGGGAAGAAAAAAAUCCAGACAAAGCAAUUUUUAGAAGAGGCAAAAGACUUGACAGGAAUUUAAGAGAAUACCCAAAUAGCCAAUUAGGACAUGAAAAGGUAUCUAGUAUGCACCAGGAAAACACAGAUUAAAAUGUGCUGAGGUUCUACUACACAUGCACCAGAAUUGCCAAACGCAGAGGAUAACGCUAAGAAUUGCCAAAGCUGUGGAAAGGAACUCCCAUGCUCAGCUGGCAGGAGUGGAAAUCGGUACAACUCUUCUAGAAACCCACCAGGCAGUUUCUACCAAAGCUGAGCAUGUAUAUCCCAACGGGCCAGCAAUCUUCUUCUAGGUAUGUGCUCAACAGAAAUGUCUGUAGCACACGUGCACCAAAUGACAAGGAUCAUGGCGGCGGCAUCAUCCCCAACAGCUCAAAGCUACAAAUCCCAAAUGACCACGAACAGAAUGGGUGUAUAAUUUGUGCUAUGAUCACACAAUGGAACCAUACACAGCAGGGAACGACUCCCUCCCUCCGUCCCAUGAGGAGCCUCCUCUAUCCUUUCUUUUCCCAAGCUCCAGACCCCCGUUACCCAGCUGUCAUCCCCUAACACCACAGGCAGCACCCACCUCUGGGCCACAGAAGACGACCCUGAGCAAACGUGGCUUAAGGCUCCAACCCUGCCAACUCCACUCAGGUGGGCUGGGGCGUAGCACUGGCCCUGGAAGGCUGGUCCAGGCAGCAGCUGGGUUCCAGUCCCAGCUCGACCGCUUUGGGAGCACGGCCAUCGCCCAGUCAGCUCAGGUCCCUACACACCAUGGGAGGCUCACCCUCAAGGAGGGUCAAGAUCUCCCCUGGGUCCAGAAGCCUCAGUUCCGUCCAGGACCACUGUCAACGCUCAGCUCCUUCCCCAGGAACUCGGCCACCUCCCUUCUUUCAUCAUGGCCCCACACGCCUUCUAGCUCCUUCCCACUCACACAAAGGAGCACCUGGGACUGGAGAGGCAGCGCCUCUCCACGCAGCACAGGCUUCAUUUUCCAAGUUCUCCCGCCACCGACCUGAUGUGGAAGACACACUUGGCACAAAAGGACCAGACAAAAUCCAGUGCCAGUCAGGUUGGCGGUGUUCUGAGAAGGCAUAGACAAAAACAGAAACUGAGUCGUAGCAGGGGUUAACAAUUUUAUAUCCACUCUGGCAAGAGGCGGCUCGUUCCUCAGGCACUGCCUGCGUAUUUCCCUAUUUCAUCCCUGGAGAGUUUCAAUGUCCAGAAAGGUUUCUUCCUUCCCAGACCCUCUCUCCAUCCUUCCCAGUUUAAAUGGUCAUUUCUGCCAAGAAUCAUCUGUCUCACUACUUCCUGCUGGUCCAUUAAUUACAAUAACAAGAAAUAACCCUGCAGUGAUGUCAUCCCAACUUUUACUUCCUGUAGUGAACGCACAGGUCAGGCCGACCGCUGUGUGUGUCCAGAUGCACCAGGCCUCCAUUUUGAAAAGAGAAAAAAUUCACAGCUCUUACACUCCAAAGCUUUCAUGUGUCCAGAAGCACUCACCCCAAGGUUUGAUAAGUUAAAUAAAAACAAAAUGUGUGUCAGGCACCGCUACCACCAAAAUGUCGCUAUUGUAAGCGGAAAACAAGCCACUGAUUGUGUAGAGCUGUGAAUGUAGGUUUAUAUACAUAAAGAAAAGCCACAUUUUCAAGACACAUGUAAUGAGAUGCAGGGUAUAAGACACAUUCAGUGUUUCUAGCAUGUGUGAGCUAGGGAGAGUUGGUUUCUGACAUCAGCAGGGACAAGGCGGCACCUGUUGGGGAUGGAGUGACUCCCUUAUCUGUGUUCUUAGAGCAACAGGGCUGGAGACAGGGAAAGAAGAACCCCCGUCUGGCUCCACACUCCUUGGGCUUGUGGAAAGGCUUUACUCACCCCUCACCAGGCCUAGCAGCCAACAGCAAUCGGUGUGGUUAAUUUUUUGAAGGGAUCAAAGAAUAAAGCUGCCUCCAACAGCA